GGCUAGUCUGAGUAUACUGGUGUUUACAAUUAAUCAUAGCUAGUUACAGACUUCUUUAUUCCUUCUCUACUCCACUGCUUCACUUGACUAGCCUAAA
ensembl:misc_RNA Y_RNA Y RNA